rnacentral:rRNA from 1 species
UGUAAGCGUAUACCAAAGUUGUUGCAGUUAAAACGCUCGUAGUCGGAAUUUGGCAGUUCCGGAUGUGUGCACGUCGUGUGCGCACUUCGCGGGGAUUGCUUUUGUGGUCUUGCGUAGGAUGAGGCACUUUUAUUAGUGAACGUCCUCACGCAACCACUUUUUACUGUGAGAAAAUCAGAGUGCUCAAAGCAGGCAUUUGCCGUGAAUGCAUUAGCAUGGAAUAAUAGAAUAGGACUCUGUCUUAUUUUGUUGGUUUGUUAGGACCGAGUAAUGAUUAAGAGGGACAGUUGGGGGCAUUCGUAUCUCGUUGUCAGAGGUGAAAUUCUUGGAUUUACGAAAGACGAACUACUGCGAAAGCAUUUGCCAAGAAUGUUUUCAUUAA